rnacentral:rRNA from 1 species
GGGAGGAAUAUUGCCCAAUGGGGGAAACCCAGAGGCAGCAACGCCGCGUGCGCGAAGAAGGCCUUCGGGUCGUAAAGCGCUUUUCCGAGGGAUGAGGAAGGACAGUACCUUGGGAAUAAGUCUCGGCUAACUACGUGCCAGCAGCCGCGGUAAAACGUAGGAGGCGAGCGUUAUCCGGAUUCACUGGGCGUAAAGGGCAAGUAGGCGGUGGUUCAAGUUGUGCGUGACAACUCUCGGCUCAACUGAGAGGGGUCGCACAAUACUGGGUCACUUGAGGGCAGGAGAGGGGAGCAGAAUUCCUAGUGUAGCGGUGGAAUGCUCAGAUAUUAGGAGGAAUACCAGUGGCGAAGGCGGCUCUCUGGCCUGCACCUGACGCUGAGAGGCGAAAGCUAGGGUAGCAAACGGGCUUAGAUACCCGGGUAGUCC